rnacentral:rRNA from 1 species
GACGAACGCUGGCGGCGCGCUUAACACAUGCAAGUCGAACGGAAAGGCCUGCUUUCCCUUGUGGAUUGCGGGUACUCGAGUGGCGAACGGGUGAGUAACACGUGAGUGAUCUGCCCCCAACUUGGGUAUAAGCCUGGGAAACUGGGUCUAAUUCCCGAUAGGACUGCAGGGUGGUGCCUGUGGUGGAAAACGAUUUUCUAGUGGUUGGGGAUGAGCUCGCGGCCUAUCAGCUUGUUGGUGGGGUAAUGGCCUACCAAGGCGGCGACGGGUAGCCGGCCUGAGAGGGUGGACGGCCACAUUGGGACUGAGAGACGGCCCAGACUCCUACGGGAGGCAGCAGUGGGGAAUAUUGCACAAGGGGCGGAAGCCUGAUGCAGCGACGCCGCGUGGGGGAUGACGGCCUUCGGGUUGUAAACUCCUUUCGACCGCGAGGAAGCCACCUGGUUGGAAGGGUGGUGACGGUAGUGGUAGAAGAAGCACCGGCUAACUACGUG